AUUGAUUAUGACUUUACACCCAACUAGAAGCAAAAACCUUUUGCCUGGACAUUUAUUAGAACAUCGGUCACCAAUGUAAAGGAGUAUGGUGAAGAAUUUGAAUCAACUUCAACCAUGUUCUACAGGAUUUUGUGGUCUAAAUAGCAUUUGUCCUGCUACCUAUGAUAAGGAAAAGUACGGAUUCAAUAGAAUGAGCUUUCUAGAUCCUCGACCAAAUUCCUGGCAGAGCGACAUGUGCAUACAACCACAGUCAGGGCGUCAAAGGAUUACGUGAUACAAUUGCUUCUGGUGUCGGUAAUGUUGGUUCUUCAUCCUCUAUUCAGGUUCACAUGAUGAUGCAGUCGUUCAUAGAAUGAUAUAACUCUCUGUCCCAUCCCCCAAUAUCCACUUUAUUCCGCUUCAAUUUCCCUCCAUGGUGGCACUCUCGUACGUGCAUUUGCUUCAAUUUAAAGUCGAUCAGUGCUAGUUGUAUAGUUGGCCUUAAUAGGCUAGAUUAACCUACUUCUGGAAGAGAUUAUUAUAAUCGUUUAUUAAUGAGAGCUCACCUGAUUGGCUUACUAUUUAGUUGAAGGUGACACGUGAGCCUCUUAUGUAUGUUUUUAUCUGGUAUUUUAGGUUCCCUAUUAUCUUGAUGAAGAAAUAUGAUGGGGACUGGGGAUCUCAGAGCUUGAGAAUCAGUUGAAAGCUGCAAAAUCUAAGGAUAUUAAAGUUAGGGCUUUGGUUGUGAUUAAUCCAGGCAACCCAACGAGGCAGGUUCUUGCUGAGGCCAACCAACGAGCUAUUGUGGAAUUCUGCAAGAAAGAAGGCCUCGUUCUUUUGGCGGACGAAGUGUAUCAGGAAAAUGUUUAUGUGCCUGAGAAGCAGUUCCACUCGUUUAAGAAAAUUGCUCGGUCUAUGAGAUUUGGAGAAAAAGACAUCUCUUUAGUUU